rnacentral:rRNA from 1 species
AUUAAUAGUUUGUUUUAUGUUUCAGCUUAUUAAGGAUAAGCUCGAUAAGAAAAUUAGGAAAAUGUAUAAACUGAGAUAAAUUACGUAGGCUUGAAAUUGGUCAUCGUUUAAUGAAACUUGUUAUAAAGCGGUCUACAGAAAUUAAAAGAUUUUAAUACUUUUGUUCUACCUUAUAUAAGGGCAGAAAGGGAAACUGACAGCCUUAAUCUGUGUAUGCUAAAAUGAGUAUUUUGUAAAAUUUAUGAGAGGUAAUAGUAUAAAGGAUACCUGCAAUAGCAGCAAUUUGCUUAUGAAAUAAAAGGAAGGAACUCGGCAAAUCCAAGCUCCGCCUGUUUAUCAAAAACAUGGCUCUUUGUUAUUUUAAUAUAAAGAGUUGGGCCUGCCCAGUGAAAUUUUUAACGGCCGCGGUACCCUGACCGUGCAAAGGUAGCAUAAUCAUUUGCCUUAUAAUUGAAGGCUCGUAUGAAUGGUUUAACGAGAGCGCUGCUGUCUCCCCUUUAAUGCCUAGAACUUGACUUUUAGGUGAAGAGGCCUAAAUGCAAUUGAAAGACAAGAAGACCCUAUCGACUUAAAAAUUAAGUCGGAAAUAGCUAUAAAAACAACUUAAAUUUACUGCUGGCUGUUUUUUUGAUUGGGGCGAUCAAGGAACAAUAAAAGCUUCCUUUAUUAUCUCAACAUAUAAGUCAAGAUCCAGCAGGAGCUGAUUGAAAGAAUUAGUUACCGUAGGGAUACCAGCAUAAUCUCCCUUGAGAGACCUAAUCGAAAGGGGGGGUUGUGACCUAGAUGUUGCACUAGAAUAU